CAUCUGUCCUAAUCCAGCCAAUAGACUGGGUCAUGUUGGGCCAUGGAGGCCAGAGGCAAAGUGAGGACACACGCCACAUCCAGCGUUGCAACUUUUCAUUAGUUUAACUUAAGAUAACUCACUUGAUAAGAAAUUCAAAUGAAGUCAUUAAAAGUCUCCUCUGGGUUCAGACCAACAAAGGUCUCAUUUGUUUCUUAUCCUCUCUUAACCCAUUCUAAGAACAGAACAAAUCCUUGUGACAAGAAUGCCAUUGCCCUGGAUCUGGAUCUGGAAAACCUGGAUGUUUGGACUCUCAUUCUGACAGCACCCAUUGGAUCCAUUGGGCUGUGAUAUUAUUGGUCCUCUCCAUCAGUGGCUGUCACACUCUCUGUCCUCCCUAUUGGACCGGCACUAUCUGGAGGAUUGCACAGAGCUGGAAAACAAUAAAUGAGUGUCUAUCAUCUUGAGAUGAUAAGCAUCUGGUGCUAGAGGUUGUGAAAGCACUAAGGUGGCUCUCUGAUGCUCCGGUAAAACCCAGGGAACUCAUUUGUAAUGACAACAUGCUUGUGGAGACAUCUGUAAGAUAAAUGACUCAGGAAAUAAAUAAAAAAAGAGGAC
ensembl:lncRNA